rnacentral:rRNA from 1 species
UACGUAGGGGGCAAGCGUUGUCCGGAUUUAUUGGGCGUAAAGCGCACGCAGGCGGUCUCUUAAGUUUUGAGUGACAGGUAGUGGCUCAACCACAACAGGCCUCAGAAGACUGGGAGACUUGAGGACGAGAGAGGGAUGCGGAAUUCCAGGUGGAGCGGUGAAAUGCGUAGAGAUCUGGAAGAACACCGGUGGCGAAGGCGGCGUCCUGGACCAACACUGACACUGAUGAGCGAAAGCCAGGGGAGCAAACGGG